GACCCUCAUGGACCAACCAGAUUUCCAGCAGUUGAAUAGAGACAGGGACCCAACGCCCACCCCAGGAGUUAAUUGAGAUGACAGCGAUGUUCAAAUCCAACAAAACUUCCAAUGUGGGAUGUACAUGAAAACCGAUGGAAGAUUUUCUAUUCCUAAGAAUCAAGAAAGCCAUUGCCUGAGUUCACAGUCAGCUCUAGGGCCUGAAGGAGACUGUCUCUUUUGUUAUCAUGGAAGUUCUAGAAACAGUCAUAAAGUCACCAGUGUGCCUGUGGUUAAAAUAGGAGGUUCAGUAACCAGAAGACAUUGUGAAUAGCCUAUGGUGUUCUUUGCCAUUAAGCUGGUUUUCUUUCCCAAUAGUCGUCCUCAUAGGAGAAAAGAAACAACUACCAUUUUCUAGUCCAAAUUUCACUUCCUC
rnacentral:lncRNA from 1 species